GACGAACGCUGGCGGCGUGCCUAAUACAUGCAAGUUGAGCGAUGAAGAUUGGUGCUUGCACCAAUUUGAAGAGCAGCGAACGGGUGAGUAACGCGUGGGGAAUCUGCCUUUGAGCGGGGGACAACAUUUGGAAACGAAUGCUAAUACCGCAUAAUAACUUUAAACAUAAGUUUUAAGUUUGAAAGAUGCAAUUGCAUCACUCAAAGAUGAUCCCGCGUUGUAUUAGCUAGUUGGUGAGGUAAAGGCUCACCAAGGCGAUGAUACAUAGCCGACCUGAGAGGGUGAUCGGCCACAUUGGGACUGAGACACGGCCCAAACUCCUACGGGAGGCAGCAGUAGGGAAUCUUCGGCAAUGGACGAAAGUCUGACCGAGCAACGCCGCGUGAGUGAAGAAGGUUUUCGGAUCGUAAAACUCCGUUGGUAGAGAAGAACGUUGGUGAGAGUGGAAAGCUCAUCAAGUGACGGUAACUACCCAGAAAGGGACGGCUAACUACGUG
rnacentral:rRNA from 1 species